GAGGUGGUGUGUCUUUGUGCCCUUUUCAUGGGUGGGAGGCCAAGGUCCUGUGAUUCAGUGCCACCUGUCUGAGCUGCCUUAGUGGGCCAGGGGACAAGAGGUGGUGAGACUUUGGAGUUAACGCUGAAGCAAGUCACCAGAGAAACAGCCUUGGCUCUGAGCCUGGCUGCCCGGGUAGCCCUGCCCGGAAGCUAGAUUGAGAAAGAGGCCUGGAGGCAUGGCCCUGUGGCUGGCUAGUCCAGCUGAGCCGAGCUGUCAUGAAGCAUGGGUACUAAGGCAGACAUCAGAAGGCCUGAGCUGACCCUCUUCUCCCCAGAGCCCAGUCCUAGCUGGCACCUACUAUUUGAAUCUGUAGCCCUCACUGGUUUCAAUGAAGCAGCAGGGCCAGGCCCUGCCUCCUGACAUUAGCCAUAGCCAGCUGGCACUCGUGCUGCUGCCUGCCUGUGGAGUCACCCCCAUAGGACAGUCACAGAUGACUUCAACUCUGGCUAAGGAAACCAGUGCAGUGGGAGAGUUCCCCACUUCCUCUUGUGGAGGACCCCUGAAUCUCACAGCCCCCAAAGCGCCACAGUAUUGUACAGACAGGGCCCUACUGAGCAGCUGAGUGGGUGAGCAUUAUAGUUGCUUCAGUGGGGAGGACAAGCUCACUUCCCAUUUCUGCAGGGGCUUGAGUCACCAUAGUCUGGGGUCGGGUUUUGGGAUCAGGAAGAGUACUGAAAGCCCUGCCCCAAGCCUGCUUUCCUCCGUGGGACCUUGGGCAAGUCACUCAGCAUUGCCAAGCAACUGAUAAUGAACUUGACUGUCCGGUAUUUUAGCUUCCUAUCCCAUAAAGACAAACAGAUGCCCACAAACGGCCUUUUAACCUGAGAACACAUCAUUGCGUUUGUGUGCCUGUGUGUUUUAUUGCAUGUGUUUGAGACAGAAUCUCAUGCAGGCCAAGUUGGCCUGGAACUUGCUUUGUAACCAAAGAUGACCUUGAACUUCUGGUGCUCCCCGCACCUUCUUCCCAGAUGCUGGGAUGACUGGGUGUAUGUUCCAGCACCAGGUGCUGGGUAUUGAACUCAGUGCAUAAUUGGCUACAUUCCCAGAGCCCUGGACAACAUAGUCCCAUUAGAUUCACGGCUGGCUGUUCUGGUACUGAAGUAGUUUUUGAAACAGAAAAUACAUUCUAAGCUACACCGACCACUAAGUACAAAUCAGAGGAAUUGUUCAAAGAGAAAAGGGGAAGAGCUCCAUCCC